GUCUAUGGCCUUGCCACCCUGACCGUGCCCGAUCUCAUCUGAUCUCAGAAGCUAAGCUCAGAAGGGUCGAGCCUGGUUAGUACUUGGAUGGGAGACCACCUAGGAAUACCAAGUGCUGUAGGCG
rnacentral:rRNA from 1 species